AAGUCGUAACAAGGUUUCCGUAGGUGAACCUGCGGAAGGAUCAUUAAUGGAUAAGCAAGGAACUUGUUUCCUUACCUUUCAUUAUUCCCCUGCCAUCAUCUUGCUUAGUCGAAAGGCUGAACGAUUUGAUGGUAUAGAGGAGGAAAGAGUCUUGUACAAUUUCCUCCUCGGCAGUUUUAGAGGGUCGCUUCGGCGAAUCUCUAACUGCACCCUUUCGUAGAGACUGUGUCUUCAAAAGCACUUUUUCUACGAUUGAGACUCCAAAAUUGAAUUUAUUUUCAGUCAUACAAUUUUUUUUGACGCCGAUGUAUUUCGGUUGAUAAAAUAAUAAAAACCAAAUAAAACUUUCAACAACGGAUCUCUUGGCUAGCC
rnacentral:misc_RNA from 1 species